AUCAAACUCAUCUCACUAUGCAUUCGCAAUGUACACUUGAAGAAAUCAUUUUAUGUGUGUAAUUUGCAAGAAGGGAAUUGAACACCUGAAGAAAUCAUUUUAUCUUUUACCUGAUAAAGUAGCUAAGACUUUAGAGAAGUAGUUAUUGAAAUCACAAAGUUUGGUCCUUUACUUGUGUCUUUCUUUAUUUGUUUCUUCUAUUUGAAUAGAAUAUGCUUCAUUGAAAUUUGAACCCUUGUAUAUGCAGAUAAUUUAUUUUCUUGAGCAGAAUGCCCAAUUUCUUUUCUUCAAUGGAAUGCAUAGCCUCGUGUUGCAGACAGAAUACCCUCUGUACCAGCAAAUGUUACUAAUCAGGAAGUUUUUGAGGAUGCUCGUGACUUUGCACAAUGAUAUGGAGGUUUGUUAUGGGAAGACUCAACAAAGAGUACUUAUAUGGACACGUGAGAAUUGAACACUUGAAAAAACAUACCCUUUUUUUCCAUUAGAGGAUGCAAAAUUACCAGAUAUGAAUGAGAAAGAAAAAAAAAGAAGAAGAAGAAGAAAGGAGGGAAGAAAUGUGAGAAAAUGUAAAAAGUUGUUUGGCUGUUUAAAUUGCUGCCUCUUUUAUGCUUUAGGUAACUUUCACUUCCGUUUUGGUCCCAACUUUUAUUUACAUACUUGUGAACCUAGGUUUGUCAUGCUUCUGUACUAGAUUUGGGAUGUUCAAAUAUAUGAAAGUGUUACCUUUUCAA